ACGCUGGCGGCACGCCUAAUACAUGCAAGUCGAACGAAGUAGCAAUACUUAGUGGCAGACGGGUGAGUAACAUGUGGGUAUCUUCCCUUUGGUGAGGAAUAACUAGAGGAAACUUGUGCUAAUACCUCAUAAGUCUUUACGGAGAAAGCUUUAUGCGCCAUUGGAUGAGCCUGCACUUGAUUAGUUUGUUGGUGGGGUAAUGGCCUACCAAGACAAUGAUCAAUAGCUGAUUUGAGAGGAUGAUCAGCCACAUUGGGACUGAGACACGGCCCAAACUCCUACGGGAGGCAGCAGUAGGGAAUCUUGCACAAUGGAGGAAACUCUGAUGCAGCGAUGCCGCGUGAGUGAAGAAGGCCUUUGGGUUGUAAAGCUCUUUCGUCGGGGAAGAAAAUGACUGUACCCGAAUAAGAAGGUCCGGCUAACUUCGUGCCAGCAGCCGCGGUAAUACGAAGGGACCUAGCGUAGUUCGGAAUUACUGGGCUUAAAGAGUUCGUAGGUGGUUGAAAAAGUUGGUGGUGAAAUCCCAGAGCUUAACUCUGGAACUGCCAUCAAAACUUUUCAGCUAGAGUAUGAUAGAGGAAAGCAGAAUUUCUAGUGUAGAGGUGAAAUUCGUAGAUAUUAGAAAGAAUACCAAUUUGCGAAGGCAGCUUUCUGGAUCAUUACUGACACUGAGGAACGAAAGCAUGGGUAGCGAAGAGGAUUAGAUACCCUCGUAGUCCAUGCCGUAAACGAUGUGUGUUAGACGUUGGAAAUUUAUUUUCAGUGUCGCAGGGAAACCGAUAAACACACCGCCUGGGGAGUACGACCGCAAGGUUAAAACUCAAAUGAAUUGACGGGGACCCGCACAAGUAGUGGAGCAUGUGGUUUAAUUCGAAGAUACGCGCAGAACCUUACCAACACUUGACAUGUUCGUCGCGACUCUAAGAGAUUAGAGUUUUCGGUUCGGCCGGACGAAACACAGGUGCUGCAUGGCUGUCGUCAGCUCGUGUCGUGAGAUGUUGGGUUAAGUCCCGCAACGAGCGCAACCCUCACUUUUAGUUGCCAUCAUUAAGUUGGGCACUCUGAAAGAACUGCCAGUGAUAAGCUGGAGGAAGGUGGGGAUGACGUCAAGUCCUCAUGGCCCUUACGUGUUGGGCUACACACGUGCUACAAUGGCACCUACAACAGGAAGCAAAACGGCAACGUUAAGCAAAUCCCGAAAAGAUGCCUCAGUUCGGAUUGCACUCUGCAACUCGAGUGCAUGAAGCUGGAAUUACUAGUAAUCGUGGAUCAGCGUGCCACGGUGAAUGCGUUCCCGGGUCUUGUACACACC
rnacentral:rRNA from 1 species